rnacentral:pre_miRNA from 1 species
UCUUAUGGACAAGUAAAGAAAAUGGUUUCUUGAGAUAGAACCUACUCUUGGUAAAGACACUGUGAA